GACGAACGCUGGCGGCGUGCUUAACACAUGCAAGUCGAACGGAAAGGCCCUGCUUGCAGGGUACUCGAGUGGCGAACGGGUGAGUAACACGUGGGUGAUCUGCCCUGCACUUCGGGAUAAGCCUGGGAAACUGGGUCUAAUACCGGAUAUGACCUUCCAUGUAGUGUGGGGGGUGGAAAGAUUUAUCGGUGUGGGAUGAGCCCGCGGCCUAUCAGCUUGUUGGUGGGGUAAUGGCCUACCAAGGCGUCGACGGGUAGCCGGCCUGAGAGGGUGGACGGCCACAUUGGGACUGAGAUACGGCCCAGACUCCUACGGGAGGCAGCAGUGGGGAAUAUUGCACAAUGGGCGGAAGCCUUAUGCAGCGACGCCGCGUGGGGGAUGACGGCCUUCGGGUUGAAAACCUCUUUCGACAGGGACGAAGCUUCGGUGACGGUACCUGUAUAAGAAGCACCGGCUAACUACGUG
rnacentral:rRNA from 1 species